CACGUGCCUGUUCUGAAGCGAUCCUAGAGCCCCCGAAGAUGGGCCCUAAGGCUCUAGGAAAGAGUGGCUGAGACUGCUGGUCAUGAAGCCUCUGGAAAACUCUACUGACACUCAGGAGAGAAGGAGAGUGAAAAAGGAGCUUUCAGUCUGGCGAGCGCAUGUGGAUAUGGGUCCUAAGCCCUGGAAACACAUCAGUUGUGGCCCAGGAAUCUGGCCCAGAGGAGAGUGUCUUGCUGGGGUCCAGCAGCUCCAGUGAGGAUGAAUGUCCUCUACAGAGGCAGGUAGAGUAUCUGUUGCGGGACCAGGACCUGGGACAGGGCCCCUUUUGGAGGGCAGUCCCGAGGGAGCUGAGGUCCUGUGAUCCACGGGCUUGGACGCUAUGCUGACCUGGGACCCAGAGCAAUGGUCUUUGUGACCACUAGGAGGAGCCAGUGUCCUCAGGUGGCCUGCAGGGCGGUGCUCUCUAGGGAGAGGGUGCUUUCAGAAGGUGGGAAGGGAGAGCCUCAGGGGUCUCCAGGCCUCCGCGAAACCCUCCCCUUUGACCUGGGCUCCGGCGGUCCCCUCUGUCUCACUCAGGGUAGUGGUGGGGAGUGGGGUUUCAGGUUCUGUGGAAACGGGCGGAUUUGCACGUGAACGAGAAGCAAGUUUCCCAACUCAGAGUGGGACCAACUUAAGGGGUAGUUUUAGCCAGGCCAUCGUACCCACCCAGGCCUGUUUCCCAUUUGUGAGGCUUUGGCCAAUGGGAUGAUUUCUUUCUUUCUUUUCUUUUCUU